AUUGAACGCUGGCGGCAGGCCUAACACAUGCAAGUCGAGCGAGCGGCGGACGGGUGAGUAAUGUCUGGGGAUCUGCCUGAUGGAGGGGGAUAACUACUGGAAACGGUGGCUAAUACCGCAUACCAUCGGAUGAGCCCAGAUGGGAUUAGCUAGUUGGUGGGGUAAAGGCUCACCAAGGCGACGAUCCCUAGCUGGUCUGAGAGGAUGAUCAGCCACACUGGGACUGAGACACGGCCCAGACUCCUACGGGAGGCAGCAGUGGGGAAUAUUGCACAAUGGGCGCAAGCCUGAUGCAGCCAUGCCGCGUGUAUGAAGAAGGCCUUAGGGUUGUAAAGUACUGUCAGCGGGGAGGCGUUACCCGCAGAAGAAGCACCGGCUAACUCCGUGCCAGCCGCCGCGGUAAUAC
rnacentral:rRNA from 1 species